rnacentral:rRNA from 1 species
CGAAGGGGGCUAGCGUUGUUCGGAAUUACUGGGCGUAAAGCGCGUGUAGGCGGUUGCCAAAGUCGGGUGUGAAAGCCUUGAGCUCAACUCAAGAAAUGCACUCGAUACUUGGUGACUAGAGGACCGGAGAGGAUAGUGGAAUUCCCAGUGUAGUGGUGAAAUACGUAGAGAUUGGGAAGAACACCAGUGGCGAAGGCGGCUAUCUGGACGGUUUCUGACGCUAAGACGCGAAAGCGUGGGGAGCAAACAGGAUUAGAUACCCUGGUAGUCCACGCCGUAAACGAUGGGUGCUAGACGUUGGCGAGCUUGCUCGUCAGUGUCGCAGCUAACGCGUUAAGCACCCCGCCUGGGGAGUACGGCCGCAAGGUUG